rnacentral:lncRNA from 1 species
UGAGGACCACCUGCCCUCAGUGAACCAGUCAUAUAGGCUUGUUCGUACGUUGAUCGACCAACAGACGGUCCAUAUCCCAUGGAAUUAUACCAUUGAGCUCUCCCAUCAGAGAGUGCAGAAUCUUGGCGAGGAAUAUAGCGUCCUGAUAUAUCAGGCGGGCUUGUUCGUACGUUGAUCGACCAACAGAUGGUCCAUAUCCCAUGGAAUUAUACCAUUGAGCUCUCCCAUCUGAGAGUGCAGAAUCUUGGAGAGGAACAUAGCGUCCUGAUAUAUCAGGCAAGCUGUAAUACUUCUUCGAGUUGGCUGCGCCAGCAACGCUCACGGCAUUUUCAUUAGAGCUAAGGUCGGUAAGAGUGUUAACAGGCUGCAUGGA